ACCGAUGSCGAAACUGGAUGUUGGGUGCAAUUUGGCACGCAGUAUCGAAGCUAACGCGUUAGUUGCCGCCUGGGGAGUCGGUCGCAAGACUGAAACUCAAAGAAUUGAYGGGGGCCCGCACAAGCGGUGGAGUAUGUGGUUUAAUUAUGAACGCGAAGAACCUUACCUGCCUGACAUGUCGAGAACUUUCCAGAGAUGAUUGGUGCUUCGSGAACUGAACACAGGUGCUGCAUGGCUGUCGUAGUCGUGUSGUGAGAUGUUGGGUUAAGUCCCAACAGCGCAACCCUGUCCUUAGUUGCCAGCACGUAAUGGUGGGAACUUAAGGAGACCGCCGGUGACAAACCGGAGGAAGGUGGGGAGAMGUCAAGUCAUCAUGGCCCUUACGGCCAGGGCUACACAGUACUCAAUGGUAGGGACAGAGGGUGCAAGCCGGSGACGGUAAGCCAAUCCCAGAAACCCUAUYUCAGUCCGGAUUGGAGUCUGCAACUCGACUCCAUGAAGUCGGAAUCGCUAGUAAUCGCAGAUCAGCAUUGSUGCGGUGAAUACGUUCCCGGGCCUUGUACACACCGCCCGUCACACCAUGGGAGUUGUUCACCAGAAGUCCUUAACACGGAGGGCGUUCCAGUCGUG
rnacentral:rRNA from 1 species